rnacentral:rRNA from 1 species
AGAGUUUGAUCAUGGCUCAAGAUGAACGCUGGCGGCGUGCCUAACACAUGCAAGUCGAACGAGAAGCUAACUUCUGAUUCCUUCGGGAUGAUGAGGUUAGCACGAAAGUGGCGAACGGGUGAGUAACGCGUGGGUAAUCUACCCUGUAAGUGGGGGAUAACCCUCCGAAAGG